GCAGUGGGGAAUAUUGGACAAUGGGGGGAACCCUGAUCCAGCCAUGCCGCGUGUGUGAAGAAGGCCUUUUGGUUGUAAAGCACUUUAAGCGAGGAGGAGGCGCUCUAGGAUAAUACCCUAGAUGCGUGGACGUUACUCGCAGAAUAAGCACCGGCUAACUCUGUGCCAGCAGCCGCGGUAAUACAGAGGGUGCGAGCGUUAAUCGGAUUUACUGGGCGUAAAGCGCGCGUAGGUGGCUAAUUAAGUCAAAUGUGAAAUCCCCGAGCUUAACUUGGGAAUUGCAUUCGAUACUGGUUAGCUAGAGUAUGGGAGAGGAUGGUAGAAUUCCAGGUGUAGCGGUGAAAUGCGUAGAGAUCUGGAGGAAUACCGAUGGCGAAGGCAGCCAUCUGGCCUAAUACUGACACUGAGGUGCGAAAGCAUGGGGAGCAAACAGGAUUAGAUACCCUGGUAGUCCAUGCCGUAAACGAUGUCUACUAGCCGUUGGGGCCUUUGAGGCUUUAGUGGCGCAGCUAACGCGAUAAGUAGACCGCCUGGGGAGUACGGUCGCAAGACUAAAACUCAAAUGAAUUGACGGGGGCCCGCACAAGCGGUGGAGCAUGUGGUUUAAUUCGAUGCAACGCGAAGAACCUUACCUGGCCUUGACAUACAGAGAACUUUCCAGAGAUGGAUUGGUGCCUUCGGGAACUCUGAUACAGGUGCUGCAUGGCUGUCGUCAGCUCGUGUCGUGAGAUGUUGGGUUAAGUCCCAGCAGGGGAGCGCAACCCUUUUCCUUACUUGCCAGCAUUUCGGGCCGGAACUUUAAGGAUACUGCCAGUGACAAACUGGAGGAAGGUGGGGAUGACGUCAAGUCCUCAU
rnacentral:rRNA from 1 species